rnacentral:rRNA from 1 species
UACGUAGGGUGCAAGCGUUAAUCGGAAUUACUGGGCGUAAAGCGUGCGCAGGCGGUUUUGUAAGUCUGACGUGAAAUCCCCGGGCUCAACCUGGGAAUUGCGUUGGAGACUGCAAGGCUAGAAGCUGGCAGAGGGGGGUAGAAUUCCACGUGUAGCAGUGAAAUGCGUAGAGAUGUGGAGGAACACCGAUGGCGAAGGCAGCCCCCUGGGUCAAGAUUGACGCUCAUGCACGAAAGCGUGGGGAGCAAACAGG